rnacentral:rRNA from 1 species
GGUGCCGCAGGGAACCGUGAAGCGAGCCACCUGGGAAGUACGGCCGCAAGGCUGAAACUUAAAGGAAUUGGCGGGGGAGCACAACAACGGGUGGAGCCUGCGGUUUAAUUGGACUCAACGCCGGACAACUCACCGGGAACGACAGCAAUAUGUAGGCCAGGCUGAAGACCUUGCCUGAAUCGCUGAGAGGGGUGCAUGG